rnacentral:tRNA from 1 species
CAUUAGAUAACUAAACAUUAAGUAAUGGUCUCUUAAACCGUAAAUAGUAAAUUAUUACUUCUAGUGA